rnacentral:rRNA from 1 species
GGGCCCGCACAAGCGGAGGAGCAUGUGGUUUAAUUCGAUGAUACGCGAGGAACCUUACCUGGGCUCGAACGUAAGAUGACUAUGUGUGAAAGCAUAUAUCCCUUCGGGGCAUUUUACGAGGUGCUGCAUGGUUGUCGUCAGCUCGUGCCGUGAGGUGUCGGGUUAAGUCCCAUAACGAGCGCAACCCCUACCUUUAGUUGCCAACAGGUCAUGCUGGGGACUCUAAAGGAACUGCCUACGCAAGUAGUGAGGAAGGCGGGGAUGACGUCAAAUCAGCACGGCCCUUACGUCCAGGGCUACACACGUGCUACAAUGGCCGGUACAGAGGGCAGCUACCUGGUGACAGGAUGCCAAUCUCCAAAGCCGGUCUCAGUUCGGAUCGGAGUCUGCAACCCGACUCCGUGAAGUUGGAUUCGCUAGUAAUCGCGCAUCAGCCAUGGCGCGGUGAAUACGUUCCCGGGCCUU